UACGGAAGGCAGCAGGGGGAAUAUUGCACAAUGGGCGCAAGCCUGAUGCAGCCAUGCCGCGUGUAUGAAGAAGGCCUUCGGGUUGUAAAGUACUUUCAGUCGUGAGGAAGGUGUUAAGGUUAAUAACCUUAGCAAUUGACGUUAGCGACAGAAGAAGCACCGGCUAACUCCGUGCCAGCAGCCGCGGUAAUACGGAGGGUGCGAGCGUUAAUCGGAAUUACUGGGCGUAAAGGGCACGCAGGCGGUUAAUUAAGUUGGAUGUGAAAUCCCCGGGCUUAACCUGGGAAUGGCAUUCAAGACUGGUUAGCUAGAGUCUGUAGAGGGGGUAGAAUUCCAUGUGUAGCGGUGAAAUGCGUAGAGAUGUGGAGGAAUACCGGUGGCGAAGGCGGCCCCUGGACAAAGACUGACGCUCAUGUGCGAAAGCUGGGGAGCAAAC
rnacentral:rRNA from 1 species